AAUCAAGCGUUUAAGGGCGAUUGGCGGAUGCCUUGGCACUGUAAGACGAUGAAGGACGUGGUAUACUGCGAUAAGUUUCGGGGAGCCGUAUGCAGGCUUUGAUCCGAAAAUUUCCGAAUGGGGAAACCUAACACUUCGUGUGUUACUUUGUACUGAAUUCAUAGGUAUAAAGAGUGAACCUGGAGAACUGAAACAUCUAAGUAACCAGAGGAAAAGAAAUCAAUUGAGACUCCGUGAGUAGUGGCGAGCGAAAGCGGACUAGGCCAGCAACAAUAAUGAGAUAAUUUGAAUAGUUUGGAAAAACUAACCACAGAGGGUGAUAGUCCCGUAAAAGUAAAGCUCAUUUAUGUUCUUGAGUAAAGCGGGACACGUGAAAUCCUGCUCGAAUUUUGGGGGACCACCCUCUAAGCCUAAGUACUCUACAGUGACCGAUAGUGAACUAGUACCGUGAGGGAAAGGUGAAAAGAACCCCUAUUAGGGGAGUGAAAUAGAACCUGAAACCGAUUGCCUACAAACAGUCGAAGCUCUUUUUAGAGUGACGGCGUACCUUUUGUAUAAUGGGUCAGUGACUUAAUUUAUAUAGCAAGCUUAAGCCGAUUAGGUGUAGGCGCAGCGAAAGCGAGUCUUAAUAGGGCGUUUAGUUAUAUGAAUUAGACCCGAAAACGAAUGAGCUUACCAUGAACAGGUUGAAAGUUGGGUAACACCAACCGGAGGACCGAACCAGUUGACGUUGAAAAGUCUUUGGAUGAUUUGUGGUAAGGGGUGAAAGGCCAACCAAAUUCGUAGAUAGCUGGUUUUCCGCGAAAACUAUUUAGGUAGUGCGUUGAAUAAACAUACGUUUGGAGGUAGAGCACUAAAUGGGCUAGGGGGGAGAAAUCCCUACCAAACCUAAUAAAACUCCGAAUGCCAAACGUAAUUCCUCAACAGACAGACUGUGGGUGCUAAGGUCCAUGGUCGAGAGGGGAACAGCCCAGAUCACCAGAUAAGGUCCCUAAAUUAUGAUUAAGUGUGAAAGGAUGUGGAGAUUCCUAAACAGCCGGGAGGUUGGCUUAGAAGCAGCCAUCCUUUAAAGAUAGCGUAACAGCUCACCGGUCUAAUAGAGUUUCUGCGCCUAAGAUGUAACGGGGCUCAAAUCAUAUACCGAAUCUGUGGGUGUAAAAAAGUUUUCGAAUUUUUUUACGCGGUAGCGGAACGUUCUGUAAGCCGAUAAAGGAAUACCCGUGAGGGAUUCUGGAGGUAUCAGAAGUGCGAAUGCUGACAUAAGUAACGAUUAACAGAGUGAAAAACUCUGUCGCCGAAAAUCCAAGGGUUCCUGCGCAAGGUUAAUCCGCGCAGGGUUAGUCGACCCCUAAGACGAGGGCGAAAGCCGUAGUCGAUGGGAACCAGGUUAAUAUUCCUGGACCAGAGUGUAGUGACGGAUUUCAUAAGCUGUUAACUCUUAAUGGAUUGAGUUAGCUGUGAAGAAGUCCCAGGAAAUAGCUCACUCAUAAGAUCGUACCCGAAACCGACACAGGUGGAUUAUUAGAGUAUAAUUAGGCGCUUGAGAGAAUGAUGUUGAAGGAACUCGGCAAAAUGCCUCUGUAACUUCGGAAGAAAGAGGACCCAUUUUUAGGCAACUAUUGAUGGGUGGCACAAGCCAGGGAGAAGCGACUGUUUAUCAAAAACACAGGACUCUGCUAACACGUAAGUGGAUGUAUAGGGUCUGACGCCUGCCCGGUGCCGGAAGGUCAAUGCGAUGGGUGCAAGCUCAUUUCUGAAGCCCCGGUGAACGGCGGCCGUAACUAUAACGGUCCUAAGGUAGCGAAAUUCCUUGUCGGGUAAGUUCCGACCUGCAUGAAUGGCGUAACGAUUUCUCCGCUGUCUCCAACAUCAACUCAGUGAAAUUGAAUUCUCCGUGAAGAUGCGGAGUUCGCGUGG
rnacentral:rRNA from 1 species